rnacentral:rRNA from 1 species
GAGGGGUAAUCGGCCCACAUUGGGGACUGAGACACGGCCCAAACUCCCUACGGGAGGCAGCAGUAGGGAAUCUUCCACAAUGGACGAAAGUCUGAUGGAGCAAUGCCGCGUGAGUGAAGAAGGGUUUCGGCUCGUAAAACUCUGUUGUUAAAGAAGAACACCUUUGAGAGUAACUGUUCAAGGGUUGACGGUAUUUAACCAGAAAGCCACGGCUAACUACGUGCCAGCAGCCGCGGUAAUACGUAGGUGGCAAGCGUUGUCCGGAUUUAUUGGGCGUAAAGCGAGCGCAGGCGGUUUUUUAAGUCUGAUGUGAAAGCCUUCGGCUUAACCGGAGAAGUGCAUCGGAAACUGGGAGACUUGAGUGCAGAAGAGGACAGUGGAACUCCAUGUGUAGCGGUGGAAUGCGUAGAUAUAUGGAAGAACACCAGUGGCGAAGGCGGCUGUCUAGUCUGUAACUGACGCUGAGGCUCGAAA